UUGAUAUUUAGGUACGGUACAGUUGCAAGGCGGCAACACUGUUAAACAUUAAGUCCCUUGUGAGACCAAAGCACGGCCGACCAUUGCAGUCGCUGUCGUAACUUGUUUUAGAUAUCUUUAGUGAAUAAGCUAAAUCUUAUGUUGGAAAAUUGCUUUUAGUUUGUGGUGCCGAGUGCCGGGAUUUGAUAUUAUAUUGAUAUUAUGCCGUAUUAACCCUAUACCAAGAAUUAAGAAACGAGCUUCUACUAGAGGAUAGAAGUUCAGCAACCAGUUCAGUACUUAUAACUUCUUCUCCUUACAAAUUGCCAUUAGAAGAGGCUGCAACAAUUAAAAAGGAGAAAGUAACUAAGGCCAAUAAACAACCCACACGUGGUAAAGGUCGUGGUUCAAAAUGUCUCCUGUUGGAAAGAAAAGAGAAAGCUAACAACAAUUUUAAGUUCAAAGGAAAAUCUAGCUCCAGUGAAACUCGAGCGACACCAUAUCCUCAGGUUCUUUUGAGUUAGAAAUUCCACCAGGUUUGUCUUCCGUCACAGUGAAGACGUCACUUGAUUUGCUGUGUUAAAUUGUUAGAUAACUGCAAAGAAGAGCGUUAAGUUAAAUUCCUUAUGUGUUCCCUCUGGGCUCACGUUGAGUGUGCAGGGGCAGAAGAAAGUACAGGGGCACUACAUAUACGACUAUUGUCGUACUUGAAUGUCAAGUAUUAAAUUUUGAAUGUAAAAUUAUAAUUUUGUUCAUUUUAA